rnacentral:rRNA from 1 species
GGACUACUGGGGUUUCUAAUCCUGUUUGCUCCCCUAGCUUUCGCGCCUCAGCGUCAGGUUUAACACAGAAAACCGCCUUCACCACCGGUGUUCUUCCACAUAUCUACGCAUUUCACCGCUACACGUGGAAUUCCGUUUUCCCUUAUCAACCUCAAGUCCUAGAGUUUCAAAUGCAGCUCCGGGGUUGAGCCCCGGAAUUUCACAUCCGACUUCUAAGUCCGCCUACGCGCCCUUUACGCCCAGUAAUUCCGAUCAAUGCUUGCACCCUCCGUAUUACCGCGGCUGCUGGCAC